CUCUCCUUUGUGGAGUCGUUUCUGUGAGCCUAGGCCUUUGGAGAUGGGUGGCAAGAUGAAUAUUUCACCUGAAGGAAAUCCUCAGAAGUCUUUAGCACCUCUAACAGAGAAGGAUUUGAGACAGCAUCAGACACUGAAUUAUACUGGGAAGAAGAGAACAAAUGCGUCACUCACAUCCCCAUCAUCCAUGAAGUUGGAUAAAUCUUUCAUCCUAUUCGUAUGUAAGAGAACCUCAAUAAACUGCAUUAUCUCCUUAAAUCAAAGCAACUUUUAACUCUUAAAUCAAAUGCUGCCUUCUCAGUGCAUGGUACAUGUGCUGGCCAAGGUCACCCAGACAUUCCCAUCUAUUUGCCUGUUGUUAUUUGGCUCCAUGUUCAGGCCCCUAGAGAGGUGAAUGUGUGUCAUUCUGUUCAUCAGGAAAAUUACCUCAGCAUGGUGUAUUGGCAGGAAUCCAAGGAUACAGUAGAUUAAAAGUGCUUGAUCAAAGUUGGAACAAGUCUCAUUUCUAUCUGGGGACUUCCU